ensembl:snRNA LOC120095378 U6 spliceosomal RNA
GAGUAUUCACUGGCUGCCCUUAUACCAAACCUGGAAGACUACACAGAAGGUCAGCGUGACCCCUGCGCAGUGAUGACACGCAAAUCCAUGAAGUAAUCCAUUUCCCA